GAGUUGGAAAAUAGAAUUGAAUUUUUGAAGCGUAAGCAUGCUGAUGAGUUUGAGCAUCUCCUAGAAGCUAUUCCUGAUGACAACAUUAAGAAUAAAGUUGAUGCUUGUGCAGAUAGCCUUCGAAGGCGUGUUACUGAACUCAGACAAGAAAUUGAAGGACUGAAUAAGCGUAGAACCCACCUGUCUGUGAGCAUAAAAGGACAAAAACAGCAGCAGAGUCGUAAAGAACAGGAGAUCAGAGGUAUGUAUAGCACAAGUUG